rnacentral:rRNA from 1 species
UACGUAGGGUGCAAGCGUUGUCCGGAAUUAUUGGGCGUAAAGAGCUCGUAGGCGGUCUGUUGCGUCGGCUGUGAAAACCCGGGGCUCAACUCCGGGCCUGCAGCCGAUACGGGCAGACUAGAGUUCGGCAGGGGAGACUGGAAUUCCUGGUGUAGCGGUGAAAUGCACAGAUAUCAGGAGGAACACCGGUGGCGAAGGCGGGUCUCUGGGCCGAUACUGACGCUGAGGAGCGAAAGCGUGGGGAGCGAACAGG